GAGGUGAAUUUUGUCCAGGAUUCAAAUGAAGAAUUGCAUUCUCUGUAUGAAAACUUGCUACUGAAAUGCCCUUGAAGAAGGCACUUAGCCUCCUGACUAAGCUGCUUUGUGGCCGCCAAUCGCAGUUUGUGUAUAAAUGUUUGAUGCAUUUACAGGAAAAGCACAAUGUUCAAAAACAAUGCAUUAUAUACGCCCUGCCUCAUUGAAAUUAUGUGCGGGUGCUGCUCAUUUGCUCUG